CGGACGCGUCACAUGCCGGCGUUGUUGGGCGCGUUUGCGCGACGCCAGUGUUGAUUUGGUCGUUUGCUUGUUUAUUUGUGUUGGUAGUGGUUACGUCGGUCACAAAAUGUGAUAGUGGUGCGUGCGGGUGGUUAUGGUUGGACAGGCGGGACGGUUAGUAAGCGGCGAGCGGUUGUUCUGACGGUUAAUAUAAUUUUUGGACAUCAGCGUAAAUAAAGUUGUGAAAAAAUUGGCUUUUAAGCGAGUGAAAUGCAGAUAUUUGCGUCUACAGGAACAGGGAGUUCAACUAGCAUACCCUACUGCUUCUUAACAAUACGCAAAGUUCCCAAAAUAUAGUUUAGUAAGGACCACUACAAACCACUCUGAAUCAUUGAGAGGAGAGCUGGCGUGACAGUCAUCAGCAAAAGGCUUAAAGGUGUUCGUCAACAUUUGCACUUCCUUACCUGUUUAGACAUAAAAAACAUAUGGCAAAUAAAUGUGCGCCUAAAAAGCUGCUACGUUCAGUAUAAAAGCGGAAAUUUAUGCGUGUGUGAAUAUAUUUACGAAAUAAUACAUAUGCAUGCAUCUAGAACGAAGAGAAACCAUGAAGGAAUUACAAAAGUGUUUUUUUCGUAAUUUUUAAUGUUUGAAAAGUUCGAACAACAUUCAUACUAAUACUAUAAUAAAGAAAAUUAUGUUAAUGAAAGCGGUUUCAAGCAGCUAUUAUUAACGAAAAAAAGUAAUAACAAAAUUUGCAAAGAUAAAAAAAGUGAUACUAUCCCGCAAAUAAAAAGGUUUUCCAAACAAAAGCAGAAUCCUCUUAAUCGUUCAGUUUGUAUGGCAGAUAUGCUAUAGUGCGCCGAUCUAAGCAAUUUCCUCGGAGAUAGUACCGUUGCCCAGCACAAUAUACUAAAGUGGUCCGGUAUCGGCGAUUCUGAGAAAUGCGCAGCUUCUCAGAGAGAAAUUGUGCGAAAUUUCACUUGUAUAUCUUAAAACCUGACGGAAUAGAUCGCGUAAGUACAAACGGAUAGACAUGCCUAAAUCAGCGCACUUGAUCAUUUCUGUAUACACCUUUGGAUCUCUGAUUUUUCCUCCAGAGUGUUAUAAACUUCGUGGCAAACUUAAUAGUGCCCUAUUCAGGGUAUAAAAAUCAUACACAAACAAGCUAGUGUACGGUUAAAAACCGGAAGGAAGGUUUAAUAGCACGGAAAUUUACUUUUUCAAUGAAAUUAAAAUAAAUGAAUAGGCGGUUCGCAUACUAGCGACUUAGUAGCAAAUGAAACACACAAAUCAUUUUCAAAAUAGUCUUUUAUACACAUUGAUUGUUUACAAAUUUUCUUUACAAUAUACAUUCCUUUAAAUUCAUGCUACAAUUUUCUAUUAAAUGCUA